CGGUAAUACGGAGGGUGCAAGCGUUAUCCGGAUUUAUUGGGUUUAAAGGGUCCGUAGGCGGAUCUGUAAGUCAGUGGUGAAAUCUCACAGCUUAACUGUGAAACUGCCAUUGAUACUGCAGGUCUUGAGUGUUGUUGAAGUAGCUGGAAUAAGUAGUGUAGCGGUGAAAUGCAUAGAUAUUACUUAGAACACCAAUUGCGAAGGCAGGUUACUAAGCAACAACUGACGCUGAUGGACGAAAGCGUGGGGAGCGAACAGGAUUA
rnacentral:rRNA from 1 species